GAUGAACGCUGACAGAAUGCUUAACACAUGCAAGUCAACUUGAACUUCGGUUUGGGUGGCGGACGGGUGAGUAACGCGUAAAGAACUUGCCUCACAGAUAGGGACAACAUUUGGAAACGAAUGCUAAUACCUGAUAUUAUGAUUUUAGGGCAUCCUAGGAUUAUGAAAGCUAUAUGCGCUGUGAGAGAGCUUUGCGUCCCAUUAGCUAGUUGGAGAGGUAACGGCUCACCAAGGCGAUGAUGGGUAGCCGGCCUGAGAGGGUGAUCGGCCACAAGGGGACUGAGACACGGCCCUUACUCCUACGGGAGGCAGCAGUGGGGAAUAUUGGACAAUGGACCAAGAGUCUGAUCCAGCAAUUCUGUGUGCACGAUGAAGUUUUUCGGAAUGUAAAGUGCUUUCAGUUGGGAAGAAAAAAAUGACGGUACCAACAGAAGAAGUGACGGCUAAAUACGUGCCAGCAGCCGCGGUAAUACGUAUGUCACAAGCGUUAUCCGGAUUUAUUGGGCGUAAAGCGCGUCUAGGUGGUUAUAUAAGUCUGAUGUGAAAAUGCAGGGCUCAACUCUGUAUUGCGUUGGAAACUGUGUAACUAGAGUACUGGAGAGGUAAGCGGAACUACAAGUGUAGAGGUGAAAUUCGUAGAUAUUUGUAGGAAUGCCGAUGGGGAAGCCAGCUUACUGGACAGAUACUGACGCUGAAGCGCGAAAGCGUGGGUAGCAAACAGG
rnacentral:rRNA from 1 species